rnacentral:rRNA from 1 species
CUAAGGCGAGGUCGAAAGACGUAGUCGAUGGAUAACAGGUUGAAAUUCCUGUACUAUCCUGUAACAGAACUGUGGGGACACAGGCAGAGAGCGUGAGCCGGGAAUGGAAAGACCGGUACAAGCGAGGUAGGAGAAGAGUUGGCAAAUCCGCUCUUUAAUCUGAAGACGUGAUGUGGACUGAAAAUAAGUAGGGAAGCACGUGAGCUGACUGUCAAGAAAAGCCGCUAUUGUUUGCAGGAUACCCGUACCGUAAACCGACACAGGUGGAUGAGGAGAGAAUCCUAAGGCCGACGGAAGAAGCAUUGUUAAGGAACUCGGCAAAAUGACCCCGUAACUUCGGGAGAAGGGGUGCUCACGCAAGUGAGCCGCAGAGAACUGGCCCAAGCAACUGUUUAGCAAAAACACAGGUCUAUGCAAAACCGAAAGGUGAGGUAUAUGGGCUGACGCCUGCCCGGUGCUGGAAGGUUAAGGGGAGAGGUUAGCGCAAGCGAAGCUUUGAACUUAAGCCCCAGUAAACGGCGGCCGUAACUAUAACGGUCCUAAGGUAGCGAAAUUCCUUGUCGGGUAAGUUCCGACCCGCACGAAAGGCGUAAUGAUUUGGGCACUGUCUCAACAAUGCACCCGGUGAAAUUGAAAUACCAGUGAAGAUGCUGGUUACCUGCGCCAGGACGGAAAGACCCCAUGGAGCUUUACUCCAGCUUGAUACUGGGAUUCGGUAUUGCAUGUACAGGAUAGGUGGGAGGCUAGGAAAUGGUAACGCCAGUUGCCAUGGAGCCGAUGUUGGGAUACCACCCUUGCAGUACUGGGUUUCUAACCAGCAGCCGUGAUCCGGCUGGGGGACAAUGUCAGGUGGGGAGUUUGACUGGGGCGGUCGCCUCCGAAAGGGUAUCGGAGGCGCUCAAAGGUUCCCUCAGAAUGGUUGGAAACCAUUCGAAGAGUGCAAAGGCAGAAGGGAGCUUGACUGCGACACCGACGGGUGGAGCAGGUACGAAAGUAGGACUUAGUGAUCCGGUGGUAUAAAGUGGGAUUGCCAUCGCUCAACGGAUAAAAGCUACCCUGGGGAUAACAGGCUUAUCACUCCCAAGAGUUCACAUCGACGGAGUGGUUUGGCACCUCGAUGUCGGCUCAUCGCAUCCUGGGGCUGAAGUAGGUCCCAAGGGUUGGGCUGUUCGCCCAUUAAAGCGGUACGCGAGCUGGGUUCAGAACGUCGUGAGACAGUUCGGUCCCUAUCCGGCGUGGGCGUAGGAUAUUUGAGAGGAGCUGUCCUUAGUACGAGAGGACCGGGAUGGACUGGCCGCUGGUGUAUCUGUUGUCUUACCAAAGGCAUAGCAGAGUAGCCAAGCCGGGAAGGGAUAAACGCUGAAGGCAUCUAAGCGUGAAGCCCCCCUCAAGAUGAGAUAUCUCAUAACGUCAAGUUAGUAAGACCCCUUGAAGACGACGAGGUAGAUAGGGCAGAGGUGGAAGUGUGGUAACACAUGGAGCUGACUGUUACUAAUAGGUCGAGGGCAUAACCAA